UGGGGAAUAUUGCACAAUGGGCGAAAGCCUGAUGCAGCUACGCCGCGUGAGCGAUGAAGGCCUUUGGGUCGUAAAGCUCUGUCCUUGGGGAAGAAAAAAAUGACGGUACCCUUGGAGGAAGCCCCGGCUAACUACGUGCCAGCAGCCGCGGUAAUACGUAGGGGGCAAGCGUUAUCCGGAAUUAUUGGGCGUAAAGGGUGCGUAGGUGGUUUUGUAAGCGCGGGGUGAAAGGCAAUAGCUCAACUAUUGUAAGCCUUGCGAACUGUAAGACUUGAGUGCAGGAGAGGAAAGCGGAAUUCCUAUUGUAGCGGUGAAAUGCGUAGAUAUUAGGAGGAACACCAGUGGAGAAGGCGGCUUUCUGGACUGUAACUGACACUGAGGCACGAAAGCGUGGGGAGCAAACA
rnacentral:rRNA from 1 species